UCCGAUAUAGUGUAAUGGCUAUCAUGGCACGCUUUCACCGUGCAGACCCGGGUUCGAUUCCCGGUAUCGGAA
rfam:Ascoidea rubescens DSM 1968 unplaced genomic scaffold ASCRTscaffold_1, whole genome shotgun sequence.